GAACAAGACACACAAGCUGAAACGUCAAGACUGGGCCAAGAAAUAUCUCAAGACUGAUUUUUCUAAGGUUUUAUGGACUGCUGAAAUGAGAGUGAGUCUUGAUGGGCCAGAUGGAUGGGCCCGUGGCUGGAUUGGUAAGGGCAGAGAGCUCCAGUCCGACUCAGACGCCAGCAAGGUGGAGGUGGAGUACUGGUUUGGGCUGGUAUCAUCAAAGAUGAGCUUGUGGGGCCUUUUCGGG